GGAGUUAGCCGGUGCUUCUUCUGUGAGUGAUGUCCUUCCUGCCGGUUAUUGACCCGCAGGCCUUCUUCCUCACUGAAAGUGCUUUACAACCCGAAGGCCUUCUUCACACACGCGGCAUGGCUGGAUCAGGGUUGCCCCCAUUGUCCAAUAUUCCCCACUGCUGCCUCCCGUAGGAGUCUGGGCCGUGUCUCAGUCCCAGUGUGGCUGAUCAUCCUCUCAGACCAGCUACGGAUCGUCGCCUUGGUGAGCCGUUACCUCACCAACCAGCUAAUCCGACAUAGGCUCAUCCGAUAGCGCGAGGCCCGAAGGUCCCCCGCUUUCCCCCGUAGGGCGUAUGCGGUAUUAGCCUGGGUUUCCCCAGGGUUAUCCCCCACUACCGGGCAGAUUCCUAUGCAUUACUCACCCGUCCGCCGCUCGCCACCAGGGAGCAAGCUCCCCGUGCUGCCGCUCGACUUGCAUGUGUUAGGCCUGCCGCCAGCGUUCAAUCUGAGCCAUGAUCAAACUCUGA
rnacentral:rRNA from 1 species